AGCUCAGGUUUCUCUUCAUUUACGUAUAAAUCUUUCGCCUUUAGUAAAAGAUUUCCGUGCAGGGGAACGUUGAGUAUUGCUCAUUUUUUGAAAGCUUUGCUUUUAGCGAAGCU